rnacentral:lncRNA from 1 species
UUUGCUCCGUCCCUCCGUUCGCACUACUAGUGGAGUGGAGUGCAUUGGGGAAAGGCGACAGGGGCAAAGGGAAAGUGCGGAAGCCGACGGAGCGGAUCCUCCACGGCGGGCGAGGCGGCGGCACCGCCCGCCGGAGAAUACCUCCACAGCAGCCCAUCCGGCACCGCAUCGCCGUCUCCUUCCCCAUCCGCAAGGCAAGGCAAGACCCCUCCUCUGAUCCUCUCCCUCUCGCCUCCUCUGCCCCUGCGCCAGCAGAACCCUAGCUAGUCCCACCGAAUCAAUCGUGGUGCCAUACGAAUCCCGUUGCUUCUUUAAUUCUUUGUUCAGCCCAUCUCUUAAUUGUUAAUUAUUUUCCAUAAUCCUAUGACUACGAGAUCAUCUCCGUGGACCGAUUUGACACCUACUGGAUUCUGGUCCCGCUGCCGGUCAUUUCGUUUUUAGAUGGCACCUGAAAUUAAUGAUCUGCGAAGCUCAUGGAGUCAUGGAAGGAAGGAAGGAAGGAAGAAAAGGGAACUCUUGAAACAUCUGAACAGCGCUUUGCCUUAGCGUGAGAAACAAUUCCAAAAUGAGUAUCAGCGGAGUACAAAGUGAAAUGACUAUAAUUAAAUUAGCUUGAAAAUGUACCUCUGGUGAAUCGAAUGGCAUGCCAAGUAAAAUGAAAGUGUCUGCUAAGCCUUGAACACCUAUUCCAACUGGCAUGUGCCUCAUAUUCACAUCAAGGCACAUUUUGAAUUCAACACCUUAAAGAUUUUGUGUUCUUGCAAAACAGACCAUGACAUUUUGAAUCAAACACCCUAAAGUUUUGGUUUUGUUACAAACAAGGCCAAAAAUUUGACAAAGUUGGAGAAAUUUUCAUUAGAAAUUUCGGCAGCAUAACACAUGACAAAGAAUCACAUGUGGGGCAAGACUGAAAGAGAUGCAUGCACAGGCAAGCAUUUUGUAUUUCACAUAGAAGGAGAACACUGUACUGUGUGCCAGUACAAUGAGUCUGCUAUCAGAUCCAGGUCCUUUCUACGGGCUUAGAAGGCCAAGUUGCUACAACAGCCAGCCUUACUACAUACACCAAGAAAGAAACGUCCAUUUUCCCGAGCCUAGUUGCUCUUGGCGACGCCCCUGCCUUGAGUCCAAAAACCUUUUCUCUUCCCGUGCCUUACAUAAUUUGGAGGAGGACCAUCUUCUCUUGCCUUUCACGGCUAGCAGCUCUUGGCCUCAGCAAAACAAAGAAAAGAACUGUCAACAGAUGUCAGUUAAUUGGCAAGCCAAACACAUCUACUAAAACCAAGCAAGAAACUACUACUCAGAUUCUUCUUCUUCCUCCUCUUAUUCCAUACACGCAAAAGCAAGCAAUGUCCAGUUCAGUCUGUGUGUGAUUACUAAGCUAAAAAAAGUGUAACGUACGCAUCCAGUAGCUAGCAUGCACACAACAAAAUGAUAUUUACUUUCAGUCAGUCAUUCAUCUAAUACCACCACCAUUCAGUAAGUAAUCCCACUCCUCCUAGCUUGCCUUGUUUCAGUGAUAGUCAUACAUAAAUAAGUCUAGGAAAAUUAUAAUAUGGUACCAAACAUGUCUAAGUGUCAAGAAUUUCUUCUUUCUUAGGAACUACAGGCAGAGGCCUCAAGUGCAACUCCUAACCCCCUAGGUACGUAGUUGACUCUGCUAGGAAUGUGAAAUAAAUAGAAAGACUUCUUUUUCACUUCCAAGGGCUAACAAACUGAUGUGACAUUGACAUUUGCAUCAAAGAUGAUGUUCAAUCUGUGUUGGAUAAGGAAGUUGAACUGAAGGUUGACAGCACAGAAAGUAGGCUGGCAACGGCAACAUAAAUCCCCUUGUUUGGUUUAUGCUGUUUCGGAGGAAAAGUUCCCAGAGCAACACAGGGGAGUACCGAGGAAAGGUAUGAGCUUACUGGAACAGUUGAAUCAAGGCCAUAAAGCCUUGAUGUCGCUCGUGAGAAUACUCGAUCACAGUCAGCUUGUCGUCCAGAUCGUAUUUCUGCUUCUUUAUCUUUUCCCCAUGGUCAGACAGUCUCUCGACACCAGUGUCUGCAAUAGUUUGUUCUUAGCAACAUAGACAGGCAAAACACCAUGUCUCUUCACAUAUAUUUCAAAAAAAUUAUCAUUUUUUAAAGGAAAUGUACUGUUUUGAAGUGGGCAUCAUAUAUGGGGGCAUGCAGCUAUAAUGAUAGUAGAUAUUUGACCAUAGGGUUCCUCUUGGUGCUUAUACAAUUUGACAAUAACUAGUUUAGCAGUAUGGUAUUACAGUAAGAAACUGAACUAAAUGUUGCUUGUUGAUAAGUCAUAACAUGACCUACUUAAAGAUCAUCCUCCGGACAUACAAAUAAGCACUAACUCUAGUACACACUAGAAUAUCGAGCCUAACUCAAUAAUCACCUAUGACAGUCAGAGGGCAAAUCACUAAGCAUGAGCAUGUCAACAGCAACAACAACAUUGCCAAACUGAUUUAAUUACAUGCGCAUAAUGAUUCUAUAUGUCGAGAGGUAGGGAGUGCAGCAAGAAUAUGCCAGAUUAUGAAUUUGACGUACUUUUUUGAAAAAAAAAGUGAUUUUUUAGGCAAUACUUUUCAAAAUUCUGAACAUUUUUUUAGGCAAUAUCUCAAUACUUCAAAAAUUCUGAACAUUUUUUGGAAAAAUAUGGUCAAUUCUUGAAAAUUCAAAGAUUUUUAAAAACGUGAACAAAUUUUGAAAUUUGGACCUUCUAAAUGGGCUGGCCCAAGUCCGUUCAAAUACUUCCUGAGUAACUCCCAAUAUACUUUUAACUUCAUUUGAGAUCGUCGCUGAGUAAUUUUCUGCAAACAAGAUGGAACACUUUGUUGGGUUAAUGAGUUGUCCUGUAGCCUCCGCAUAUGUGUUCAACACCCCUUUGACUAUUGUCGCUUUAUAUAUAAAGCGGGGCAAAGCCUGUUUCGAGAUGUCUGUGAUUGUUUAAAUAUAAAAGAGGGGGAUGAUUCUAAAAAAAAUGGUUAUCACUCAAUCCAACGAAAAAAGGAUCUCACCCUCCCACGCCGCUCCCGGUGCAAAUGAUCAUGGCAAUUCCUGCGGUUGUACGGUUGGCUUCGACAGAACAAGGAAUGGUGAGGAUGGAGGCUCCUCCACCAAGUACCCGAAGAGGUGACUACAGCUGUAUGGUGUUGGACUUGGAAGAAAAAACUACCACNNNNNNNNNNNNNNNNNNNNNNNNNNNNNNNNNNNNNNNNNNNNNNNNNNNNNNNNNNNNNNNNNNNNNNNNNNNNNNNNNNNNNNNNNNNNNNNNNNNNNNNNNNNNNNNNNNNNNNNNNNNNNNNNNNNNNNNNNNNNNNNNNNNNNNNNNNNNNNNNNNNNNNNNNNNNNNNNNNNNNNNNNNNNNNNNNNNNNNNNNNNNNNNNNNNNNNNNNNNNNNNNNNNNNNNNNNNNNNNNNNNNNUAUUUUUACAUAUGUAUAAGACCAGCAGUAGUUUACUCCUCGCUAAUUUAGGCCGUUCCAAUCUUAUUCGAAGUCUUUAGAUAAUCCAGUUGUUUUUAGAUAAAUCCAGCUCUAGCUUCAGCUCUGUCGAGGCCGCCAUGUUUUCGGACGCUAUUAACUCCGCUCUCCUACACAAAAUGCAUCUCCUGCAUAGUCUAUUUACGUCGACUAGCAGCCAAUCAUCUCCUCGAGGUCGGGAAAAAUUGGCUUAGUGAGCACAGCCGCCAUCGUUCGUGGCUCAGUUCCGCUGGGAUCCUUUGCAAAAAACUUAAGCGUGUGUGUGCAAUGCUGCCAAACUUUGGGGUGUAGAUGCCAAAUUCCACAUGAUCUUAGCCACUAGCUGCCAUAGGGUCAUCAACGUCAUGGACAAGCUUGAGGAAAAACGGCCCUUGUCUUCGGACGAACGUUCAUUCAGAUUAGCUGUUAUAUGAACCUUCUCUUCACCAUCAUAAUGCCUUGCUAGCACACUAUUGGCGUCAAUCAAAGAGCUAAAAUCAGAUCAUAUGUCCUCAGGGGCAAAAAAAUUCCAAAUACUUCUUCCGCGUUCAGUUCAGCUUCAAAGAAAAAUAUCUGGAAGUUUGUCAAGAGUCUCUGCAUUUUAUCCCUUUGAUGAUUUUUGCAAGGACAAAAUCAAACCAAAAGUUUUAAAAAAGCAUAUAACUUGUGGAGUUACUAUUCAAUCACAGCCGUGUGUUUUGACAAGCACAGAAGAACUUCUGGACAGUACAAGAACGAAGAUAAGUGUUCCAGGCAAAUAUUAUACAUUUAGAUAUAUGUAUAUAUAGGUGGCAUAUAUAUACAGGCGCGAUAGCAUGAGUGCACAGAAAGAGGUUCUGGAGCAAGGCUUGCUUUUAAUUCAGAGUUCAUCAUGCAUAGGCAGAUUACCACUACAGAUAUACCAUCGAAUCCAACGAACAAGCCAACAGUAAGAGGAUAGUAUAGGUUAGCAUAGGGUGUCGCGGACGAAUCUAGCUUCCACAUGACAAGCAGUCCUCACGGUUGUUCAGGGAGCAGGUCACCUGCGCCAUCUUGGCCUGGAGAUCCUCUUCCUCCUCGGCAUUCGCAGGCUUCUUAUCCUACACGUUCAGUGUCGCUCACGGUAAGGAUCAUGUCAAGCAGUUGAGUCAAAAGAAAAAUAUGGAUCUGCAAUUCGGUGAAGUAUUCACCUUGAGAAGACUAGUGUCCACUGUGAAUUUGAUCGCAUCUGCAGCAGCACGUGUCCUCAGAUAGUACAUCCCCGUUUUCAGGCCCUGGCACAUGACAUGACAGGGAAAAGCAGAAGGAGCAUCAUAAACAACAUUGUUAGCAUGCAAAAUUACAAAUUCAACCGUAACUGUUGGACUUUUCAGUAAAACCACGGAGCGCUAGAGCAGUAUUGGUUUUAACAGGCAGACCUUGGACCAAGCGUGGAAGUGCAGAGAAGUUAGCUUCCCAGAGUUUGCUUGAUCCAUGUGGAUAUUGAGGCUCUGACUUUGAUCGAUGUAGCAGCCACGAUCGACGGCCAUGUCAACAACAGUUUUCUGCUUGAUCUCCCAAACAGUCCUGGUUCAAUUAUAUAGAAAAGUUUAGUAGACACGCAUGAACCAACACCUUGUGAAACUAAAGCGUGGGAUGAUCGUAUUUCACAUACUUGUAGAUUGCUUUCAGAUCAUCUGGGAUCUCGGUGAUCUUUUGGACAGAGCCAUCGUCGUAGAUAAUAUUGUUUUUCAGGACAGGAGACCAGAUACCCAUCUCGGUCAGAUCAUGGAGGAGAUGCUUGUUCACUACAACAAACUCACCACUGCCAAGAGAAAAAUAAUUAUGUUGCAUCUAAGCAUUGGUACGUCAAACAGCGGCUCAAAACUACAAGGGGCAGAUAUGCAAACCUUAGAACUCUUCGACUGUAAAUGUUCGACGUGUAUGGUUCAAAGCACUCAUUGUUACCAAGAAUUUGACUAGUAGAAGCAGUGGGCAUUGGAGCCACAAGAAGAGAGUUCCUUAACCCAACUUUGGAAAUCAUCCCCCUUAUAGCUGGCCAGUCCCAUCUGUCUGAUGGCACUACAUUCCACAUAUCAGGUUGAAGAAUGCCCUGCAAAGAAGUGUAUUGAGAAUAACCUCAGAAAUAAGAUUGGCUGCUAAAACCCUAUGAAGGAACAAAAUGACCUGCCAAUUGUAACUAAGAGUUCCAUUAUCUUACUACAAACCAUUCAAGAGAGAACAUCAUUAUAUGAAUACACUUACUUCACUAGCACAAGCACAAAUUCACAGUUAAGCGAUUAAUUAAGCUCAACCUGAUGGGAACAUCAGUAGUGGGAAGGGCCUAUCUCACAGGUAUAGUUGUUUAGUUCUUCAUAGCUGUUAAGUAAAUCAUGCUAAAAUCUAAAUCUCCUUAAAUACCUUACCAUUAAUGGCGAGCACAGAAAUAAUUUUAUGUUUUCUAUCAUCAGUUAAAAUUUAUAUAUGAAAAAAAUGCAUAGUUCAACAUAAUCACACCAUAUAUUCAGCAGAAACGACAGGUAUAUUUACAGACAUCAGACAAACCUUGCUGACUGGACAGCCAUCAUAAGUUUCAUAAGGGCCUUCUUUUGCGGCAAUUUCGGCAGAAGCUUUCAAUGCAUGAUAAUAGAUAGUCUCAAAGAUAUCCUUGUUUAACUGCUGGGCCUGAGAAACAAUUCCAUAAUGAGUAUCAGCAGAGUACAAAGUGAAAUGACUAUAAUUAAAUUAGCUUGAAAAUGUACCUCUGGUGAAUCGAAUGGCAUGCCAAGUAAAAUGAAAGUGUCUGCUAAGCCUUGAACACCUAUUCCAAUUGGCCUGUGCCUCAUAUUUGACCUCCUUGCUGUCUCAAUUGGGUAGUAGUUGAUAUCAAUUAUUUUGUUGAGAUUCCAUGUAACAAUUGAAGUAAUCUGUCAUAUAUUCAACAAUUUGUUAGUUGGCAUUCAGACUAACGGGACAGGAUCCCACAAUAAAGAUGACCCGGGCAAACCUCAGCUAAUUUAUCGAAGUCGAAGUAUCUAUUUUUUGACCCAAUGCUGCCAACAAGCUUAGCUGGAUGGGACUCUAUCGGAACACCCUGAAACAUAAAAUGUACAGGGUCAAGUAAUGCACGCACAUUGCCAGGUUACAACCGCUAACGAACAGACUCAGCAGUCAUCAGCACAUACCUUUUCUCUUACAAAACGUGGCAAAGCAAUUGAUGCCAGAUUGCACACAGCAGUUUCAUCAGGACUUGUGAACUCAACUAUCUCUGUGCACAAGUUGGAAGACUUAAUUGUGCCCAGAUUUUGUUGAUUACUUUUUCUGUUGCAACUGUCCUGCACAUCAUCAUCAAGGACUUUUUAAGCCAAACCAUUGGAAGAGAAAGCAGGUGUUCAGGGACUUGCAAAAUUUAAACAAACCUUAUAAAGCAUAUAUGGUGUUCCAGUUUCUAUCUGUGCUUUCAAAAUUUCAAACCAGAGGGACUGUGCUGAAACAAUUUUCUUUGCUUUUCCCUGAAAUCACGUAGCUAUGUUAUUAGUACAUGUUUCGUCACUUCAAGAAAUAUGUAACAUCUAGUCCAGCUUACUUCUCUUUCAUAUUUGUUGUACAGAUUCUGAAACUCAUCUCCCCAGCAAUCAGCCAAACCUGGAGCUUCACUGGGACAAAAUAAUGACCAUUGCUCAUUUUUUUGCACCCUUUCCAUG